UAUCGAUCAAAGUAGUCCUAAGAACUUCAUCAUAAAAUAAAAGUUCGUUAGAAGAUAUAUCUUUGUGAUGAAAAAUAUCAAAUAAUUUUUAUUAUUUAUCAUUCAUAUAUAUUUAUAAUUAGUACAAUCGUCAAACGAUUGGCUUUAGGACACAAUUUUCAACAUUGCCCACCAUUUUUUACCCAUUUUUCUUUCUCCAGAGCUUGGUUCCCCAUCCUCUUGGUUGGUUCUUGCUGUCCUUUGAUCUCCCAUGGCACAGAAGAUAAAACUUCCCCA
rnacentral:lncRNA from 1 species